GUGGGGAAUAUUGGACAAUGGGCGCAAGCCUGAUCCAGCAAUGCCGCGUGAGUGAUGAAGGCCUUAGGGUUGUAAAGCUCUUUCACCGGGGAAGAUAAUGACGGUACCCGGAGAAGAAGCCCCGGCUAACUUCGUGCCAGCAGCCGCGGUAAUACGAAGGGGGCUAGCGUUGUUCGGAUUUACUGGGCGUAAAGCGCACGUAGGCGGAUCGUUAAGUCGGGGGUGAAAUCCUGGAGCUCAACUCCAGAACUGCCUUCGAUACUGGCGAUCUUGAGUCCGGAAGAGGUGAGUGGAACUCCUAGUGUAGAGGUGGAAUUCGUAGAUAUUAGGAAGAACACCAGUGGCGAAGGCGGCUCACUGGUCCGGUACUGACGCUGAGGUGCGAAAGCGUGGGGAGCAAACAGGAUUAGAAACCCCUGUAGUCC
rnacentral:rRNA from 1 species